rnacentral:rRNA from 1 species
CGGACGGGUGAGUAACGCGUGAGAAUCUGCCUUUAGGUCCGGGACAACCACUGGAAACGGUGGCUAAUACCGGAUGUGCCGCAACGUGAAAGGGGAAACCCGCCUGAAGAUGAGCUCGCGUCUGAUUAGCUAGUUGGUGAGGUAAAGGCUCACCAAGGCGACGAUCAGUAGCUGGUCUGAGAGGAUGACCAGCCACGCUGGGACUGAGACACGGCCCAGACUCCUACGGGAGGCAGCAGUGGGGAAUUUUCCGCAAUGGGCGAAAGCCUGACGGAGCAAGACCGCGUGAGGGAAGAAGGCUCUUGGGUCGUAAACCUCUUUUGUCAGGGAAGAACGCAAUGACGGUACCUGACGAAUCAGCCUCGGCUAACUCCGUGCCAGCAGCCGCGGUAAUACGGAGGAGGCAAGCGUUAUCCGGAAUUAUUGGGCGUAAAGCGUCCGUAGGUGGCUAGUCAAGUCUGCGGUCAAAGACUGGGGCUUAACCCUGGAAAGGCCGUGGAAACUGACGAGCUAGAGUGCAGUAGGGGUAGAGGGAAUUCCCGGUGUAGCGGUGAAAUGCGUAGAGCUCGGGAAGAACAUCGGUGGCGAAAGCGCUCUACUGGACUGCAACUGACACUCAGGGACGAAAGCUAGGGGAGCGAAUGGGAUUAGAUACCCCAGUAGUC